GAUGAACGCUAGCGGCAGGCUUAACACAUGCAAGUCGAGGGGUAACAUAGAAAAGCUUGCUUUUCUGAUGACGACCGGCGCACGGGUGCGUAACGCGUAUACAACCUACCUUUUAGCGGGGAAUAGCCCAGGGAAACUUGGAUUAAUGCCCCAUAGUAUAUAGACUUCUCCUGAAGUUUAUAUUAAACAUUUAUGGCUAUUAGAUGGGUAUGCGUCCUAUUAGUUAGUUGGUAAGGUAACGGCUUACCAAGGCAGCGAUAGGUAGGGGUCCUGAGAGGGAGAUCCCCACACUGGUACUGAGACACGGACCAGACUCCUACGGGAGGCAGCAGUGAGGAAUAUUGGACAAUGGGCGAGAGCCUGAUCCAGCCAUGCCGCGUGCAGGAAGACUGCCCUAUGGGUUGUAAACUGCUUUUACAGAGGAAGAACCACCCUCACGUGUGGGGGUUUGACGGUACUCUGCGAAUAAGGAUCGGCUAACUCCGUG
rnacentral:rRNA from 1 species